UUAUACGAGGAUUGCAGAGAUGCGGCAAAGGCAAUCGGGGAAAAAGAGACCAAGAAUACUAUAUGAAGGGUUUGAAGAAGCUAGUAAGGAUUGUUAAUCUCAAGGAAGCUCACAAGAGAUUCCAAGGGAAAGUCCUGCCACAAGGGAUGAAAAAUAGUCCCACCACGUGUCAACAUGUUGCACAAGUUUUACAACCUAUAGGAGAAUGGACAGAAAGCUGGUUCCUACAGGAAGAGAAGAAGAUGAUGCUGAGUUACAGUGCCGAAGAUGGCUGGAGCAGAUGCUAAGGACCAAAGGAUUUCACUGACGAUGUUCCUUGCCAGACAGCUGUAUAAGAAAGGACUUUUUGAAUCUUAGAGACAAUUGCUUUUUGACUUUCUGUAUCUAUAUUCACAAAGGGGACUGCCCCCUUUGUUUUGUCAAUGAGUCAAUCAAUCCUUCCCAUAUUUACUUGAAAGGGGAUUACUAUGUAGAAGCUUGUCUCCCAUAUUCCCUAUUUCUUUGAAUCUACAAAUUUAUGGCAGAAUCAUAAUGUGACACGAGAUGUAAGUGCCAAGCCCCAGGAAUCGAUCCUGAAGGCAUCGCCAAAGAGUUAUUGCAACUCCUAAAACAGGUCAACCCGUUGAGCAACAUUGUUGCCACUUUCUUCCCUUGUUUGCCUUCCUAACACUAUUGUGUCUCACAGGACCCUGUUUUCUACAAGUCAUCAUUUGACUCAUUAUUAGCUUAAGCUCCAUUUUAAAAUAAUAGGGGGGAGAUGUAGAGGGCAAGCUCUGAGAAAGUCCAUUCUGGGAUAAGCUACAGGUCAGAGGCCUGUUCUUGCGCUUGGGCUGAUAACUUGGCAAGUGGGCUCUCCACCCCCCCCCCCCCCCAUACACGUGCUCUCUCCAAUACCCCUGUGGCACACAUAUGCUGAACACUACCUGUGGGCUAUUAACACAAUAUUGUUUACGGCAAAAAGGGGAACAAAAGCACGAGGAAGUCAUGUGUUAUGCAAAUGC